GUCGAAUGCCGGCGCAGUGCUUCGCGACACCGGGCGGGUCGGAAAACCGCGUGCUUUCAGCAGGUUAUUGACGCGGCCGCCGGUCUUGCCGGUGCCGCCGAUGAUCAAAAUCGGGUUCCGAUGAGCCAUGAGAAACGUCCCUUCCAAAAAUACGAGGAUAUCUCGUAUUUGUAAAAAGCGAUAAACUCUCGUAUUAAUCCCGUCAAGCGAUUUUCGGCAGCGGGUGCGCGAUGGCGACGAAGAAAANNNNNNNNNNCCGGCGGGGCUCGCGCGUCUUGUGCCCACGCAGAAGCGCAGCCGCGAGCGCUAUGAAAAGA
rnacentral:misc_RNA from 1 species